CGACACUUUGAAUUACAUAGCAAUCGUUUUUUUGCGACAAGCACACCUAUUUGUGGUACAUUUUCGAUAUGCAGUCACAUUUUCGGAAACCCUACCCAGUACCAAGGGAUUGUUUGAUUGCUGUUUGACGUAAAGAUAUUUCUACAGCAGGGACAUCUUCUUUCGUUAAAAAAUCUCUCUUUGCAAACACUGAAUUCCGAUUUGGCAUACAAUUGUUUUUCAAAAUACCCGUUUUAGUACCAAGUUUAUAAAAGCCAUCCUCUGUUUUACUAAGACCCACAGCUAAAAAUCGAGCGGGCAUCAGUUUUUGCUCUGUCCACUUCGGGUACUUUAAUUCUCACAGUGACACCUUCAUUGAUAUUUGGCUGCUUUGCAUUAGAAACUGCUAACAUUUUCUUUGCUUGCUUUUCUAAACCUGUC